AUUGAACGCUGGCGACAGGCCUAACACAUGCAAGUCGAACGAAGUCUUCGGACUUAGUGGCGGACGGGUGAGUAACACGUGGGAACGUGCCUUUAGGUUCGGAAUAACUCAGGGAAACUUGUGCUAAUACCGAAUGUGCCCUUCGGGGGAAAGAUUUAUCGCCUUUAGAGCGGCCCGCGUCUGAUUAGCUAGUUGGUGAGGUAAAGGCUCACCAAGGCGACGAUCAGUGGCUGGUUUGAGAGGAUGAUCAGCCACAUUGGGACUGAGACAAGGCCCCAACUCCCACGGGCGGCAGCAGUGGGGAAUCUUGCGCAAUGGGCGAAAGCCUGACGCAGCCAUGCCGCGUGAAUGAUGAAGGUCUUAGGAUUGUAAAAUUCUUUCACCGGGGACGAUAAUGACGGUACCCGGAGAAGAAGCCCCGGCUAACUUCGUGCCAGCAGCCGCAGUAAGAC
rnacentral:rRNA from 1 species